rnacentral:rRNA from 1 species
UACGGAGGAUGCAAGCGUUAUCCGGAAUGAUUGGGCGUAAAGCGUCCGCAGGUGGCUUUGUAAGUCUGCUGUUAAAGAGUGAGGCUCAACCUCAUAAGAGCAGUGGAAACUACAAGGCUAGAGUACGUUCGGGGCAGAGGGAAUUCCUGGUGUAGCGGUGAAACGCGUAGAGAUCAGGAAGAACACCGGUGGCGAAAGCGCUCUGCUAGGCCGUAACUGACACUGAGGGACGAAAGCUAGGGGAGCGAAUGGG